AUUAUGAUAAAUAUAAAAUCACUGUGAAGAGCUUCAAAUUUAACCAUUUUUCAUUACUUCCAUUUCCUGACUGUUGAAUCUGCCUCCAAAAUACUAUCUUUUGUAUUAGAUUAAAUUUGAAACAUCCACCGUACGUUUUACACCAUACCAAAUUUACUUUUAAAGUUAAAAAUGUAAACUUUAGUUCAAUUUAAAUUAGAUUCUACAGAAAGCAAUAUACAGCACCAUAAGGAAAACAAAACUAGAUCCGCGAACACACCCACCACCGUUUCAUACAUAGAUAACAAUAAAAAAAAUCGAAACCCUUUCGAAUAAACUAGAUCCGCAAACACACCCACCACCGUUUCAUACAUAGAUAACAAUAAAGAAAAUCGAAAUCCUUAAAUUUGAAAUCCAAAUAUAGAUAACAAUAAAGAAAACAUAAACAAAUUUGAGAAUAGAAUCAGUACCUGUUUGUGUUUUCAGUUGUAGGGAGAGGAGCGAGCUGAGAAAAGCUUCAAUUUGUUUCACUGAGCUUCAAUUUGGGGCCUAGGGUUCCAGAGAGAACCACUGUGAGAGAGAUGACGAGUUCGAGAUCGAGAGAACGGGUGAGAGAGGACGAGUGAGAGAUAGUGAUAGAUCGAGUGAGAGAUUUCAAAUCGAGAGAGGAAUCGAGGGUUUAUUCAGGUUUGCUUUUGUUCGUGAGGGUUUGUGUUUGUUCGUGAGGAAUCGAGAGAGUGUUUUGAGUGUACGUGUGUGAUGUUUUUCAUUUAAUUAACUUAUUUGGUUCCAAAAUUUUUU
rnacentral:lncRNA from 1 species